rnacentral:rRNA from 1 species
GGGGCCCUACGGGGCGCAGCAGUGGGGAAUAUUGCGCAAUGGGGGAAACCCUGACGCAGCAACGCCGCGUGAGUGAAGAAGGCCUUCGGGUUGUAAAGCUCUUUAGUCAGGGACGAAGAAUGACGGUACCUGAAGAAUAAGCUCCGGCUAACUACGUGCCAGAAGCCGCGGUAAUACGUAGGGAGCAAGCGUUUCCGGAUUUACUGGGUGUAAAGGGCGGGUAGGCGGGCCGGCAAGUCAGAAGUGAAAUCUGGGGGCUUAACCCCGAAACUGCUU